rnacentral:misc_RNA from 1 species
AACUUUCAGCAACGGAUUACUUGGUUAUGGCAUCGAUGAAGAACGCAGCGAAAUGCGAUAAGUAAUGUGAAUUGCAGAAUUCAGUGAAUCAUCGAAUCUUUGAACGCACAUUGCACCCUCUGGUAUUCCGGGGGGUAUGCCUGUUCGAGCGUCAUUUCAACCCUCAAGCUCAGCUUGGUAUUGGGUGCCACCUGGCAAUGGUGCACCUUAAAAUCAGUGGCGGUGCCAUCUGGCUUCAAGCGUAGUAAUUCGCUCGCUUUGGAUGUUUGGAUGUGUGCCUGCCAUCAACUCCUAAUUUAUCAAGGUUGACCUCGGAUCAGGUAGGGAUACCCGCUGAACUUAAGCAUAUCAAUAAGCGGAGGCU